rnacentral:lncRNA from 1 species
CAACUGCCACUCUGCAACGGCUUCCCACACUCUUAUGGGUUUGCAAUUCCUUUAAGCUCCUCCAAUCCUUCCGCCAGCUCACCCACCAAGGUCACGGAACUCAGUCUGAUGGUUGGCUCCAAGUAUCUACAUCUGCAUUGGUCAGUUGCUGGCUGAACCUCUCAAGGAGCAGCCACACCUGGUUCCUGUCAGCAAGUGCCUUGACAAGUGUCAGCAAGUGUCCGGUUUGGGUUUGACGUCUGCACACAGGAUGGAUCCCCCGGUGUAACACAGAUUUACAGUGCAGGUUUUUGUUGUUGUUGUUUUUUGUUUUUUGUUUUUUGUUUGUUUUUGUUUUUUCCCUCUGUGUAGCCCUGGCUGUCCUGGAACUCACUAUGUAGACCAGGCUGGCCUCAAACUCAGAAAUCUGCCUGCCUCUGACUCCUAAGUGUUGGAAUUAAAGGGAUGCACCACCACUGCCCACCUCCUGGCUAGCUUUAAAGGCAAUUUUACAUUUACAUUUAUUAGUUGAUGCCUUCCAUAAAAAAAAAAAUAGUUGUCAAAGUCAGUUUCUUGGAUUUCAAAAGGAAAAGAGCUGAAGAGCAAUUGUAUAUCAUGAUUUUCUCCUUCGAUUUUCAGGCACAAGAGUUUGGAGGCAUGGCCAUGAGAAUGAAUGGAAAUCUCCAACUGACUGUGGUAGAAUGGUGAAAGACAUCUUCAGGAUGAUACCGCGACCUGGGAUAAGGGAGGUGCCCAAGAAAAAUGGGAUUGACCUUAGCAGGACUCAUCCUACAGCAAGGCAGGAACCCCAGUGGAGUGAUAUACACACCAACCCACCCACAAAACUUGCUUUUUAUUUUUUUAGUGCCACUGUAGACUAAGAAUUAGACACAUCAUCUUAUAAGCCUCCAUGAGGGUCGGUAUUGCUGCCUUAAAAUCCUGGGUCUUCAGCAAACACAGGGAUUAAUUGGAAGUUACAAGUUCCAGCGAAGCCUGUUCUUGAGGAAACACAGUCUUUGUGGACUCACAAGAGGAUGUAUUCAACUUCCCAGCUCACUGAUUUGACAGUAAAGGAUUCUUGGGUGGCAUUUCAGAGCAUAGAGAUGACCCUAGAACACCUCUGCUCCCAACCCUGCCCCUACCCCCUGCUGAAGCCUCUGUUUCAAGUGAUGUAGCUACUUGGAUGUACCUACUUUAAAAAUAAAAUGAUAUGCAAGUUUAAAAAAGAAAGAAAGAAAGAAAGAAAGAAAGAAAGAAAGAAAGAAAGAAAGAAAGAAAGAAAGAAAGAAAGAAAGAAAGACAGGAAAGCCAGCCAAGGUCCUACCUUGGUUUCUUCGCAUGAUGCACAAUAAACUGACAUAAACCACUUCUUUCCAAGCUGUGUUUGGUCAUCAUUCCAUAAAAUCAGCAGAAGCAAGCUGGUAUAUUGAGGAAAACUAAAAACAGAAGUUAAAGCUGGAUAAGAAACAAUCUCUAGUAUAGAAGAGAAGUGUAUUCCUUCUGAACUUAUGGAAAUCUAUUUUUUAAAGCAAAGCAUCUUAGAUUAUAAAGUUUUUUUUUGUUGAAACAAGUUUCAUAGAGUCUGGGCAUCUUGUAGAAUUCUCACUUAUAAGAAAUGGUUGUGAAGGAAAUUUGCAAAUGUAUGCUUAUAUGAGAGAAUCAUGAAAGUUACAUAGAGUCAGGACAGAAAUGAUGAGGUAGGUGAUUGUGGUGGCAGAGGCUGGAGAACCUGCAUGUCUGACUAAUGGGAUAUGGGUGGCCAGGAGUCGUAAUCUGAGAUGAGAUGUUGGAUUUUAUAUUUCAGGAGUACUGGAGAUGGCAGGGUCUGGAUUUUAAAAGGAUGGGUCAUCCUAUAUGAGACUACGAUCGUUCCACAUGAGAGAGCAAGAGUUGUGUGUUUGACAUGAGUAUUUGGCAUUGUGCAACUUUGUCAAGCUUCAGAAAAGAAUGAGAAGUUGGAAAGUAGAAGGUAAGUAGAAGGGAAAAUGCAUCAUAAAACAUAUACUGACAUGGAUGCAGUCUGGUCUCCCGACCAAGAGAAUUAUACACUUUGAGAAAUGGGUAUGAAGCACUGAGUGGCUCCUAGAAUUCAUGACAGCAGGACUUGGGAGAAUCCAGUGCUGUGGGGCUCUGGCUUCUAAUUCUCUGUUAUACAUGAUGGCUGAUAAAAAUAGUCCUGAAACUGGCAGACCAUAAUUUUAACUCUAUUUAUUAUGUGGAAAUACACAAGCAUGAAAAAUAUGGAGAUGAAGACAGUGUCAAAAACAGUGGAAAGUUCUUUUCAUGUCACUCAUCAGAUUUUUUUGUUUGUUUUUUAUUGCUUGUUGUUGGUUUGUUUUUAAAGAUAUAUCCACCGGAACUGGCCUCCAAAACUCUGUAUUUUGAUUGCAUGGUUUUCUAUAACUGGUCAUUGACAUUUGUAAAAAGAUGCUUCCUUGAUUAAGGGUGAAGGCUACACUUACCUGUGAAUAUAAGGACAGAUAUUUAGAGUGUAGUUGUGGAUUAUGUUGGUUUAGUUAAGUGGUAUUUGUACAUUCUUCUCCAAGAUCCUUGACUUCUCUUCCUCUGGGUAGCUGGGAACUUAGAUCUGUUGUGAUUGUGUGCACAAGACAUGCAGAAGACCAAGUCUAUUGCACUACAACAUGGAGCAGGAAGUAUUGGUUUUACUCAGAGAGUUAUCAAAAGAAUCAGGAGAUGCACAGCAGAAGGAAGAAGAAUAUGAGAAAACAUCAUGAAAAAGGAAGAAGAAUGUAGCUGGAGAAAGUGGAUGGAGGUAGAGAGUAUGAGGCAUGGACAUGACCUAAAUAAGAUUGUGAGAGUAGAAGGGAAGGAAGGAAAGGAGGAAGAAGAAUGAAAAGGAAGGAAAAAGGAACUGAGGAGCAGAAUAAGGAAGGAUGAAGAAAGAAGUAGUUGAAAGAAGAAAGGAAAAAUGAAGGGUGGAAGUGAAGCACAAAGGAAGGAAAGAAGAAAGGGAGAAAGAAAGAAAAGAAAGGGAAACGAAAUGCAGGAGAAAAGGAAUAAGGAAGGAUGGGAGAGAAAAAGAAGAAAAAGAGAAGGAAGAAGAGAGGGAGAGAUACAGACAUGUAAGACUGACAGAAGAGAUGUAAGACUGACAGAAUGUUGAAGGGGGGUCAGCAUUUCAUGUAUUUUAAUGUUGCCCAUAGAUUUCAUCCGGUGAACAUGCCCAGCAAAAAGGACCCAAAAGAGGGUAUAUGGCAAAAAAGAAACAGAUUGCUAAAGUAGAAAGAAGAGAAACAUGCAUAUUUUAGGAGUGAAACAUGAAGGAUGAUAUCAACUUGGAGUUGGUAACACUGAUUUUGUUGAACGAUUUCUUCUAUAUCUUUGACAGCUCAUGUUGGUAGACUUAGUAGAGUAAUGGCUAUUUAUCUUGAGGUGAUGUAACAGAAACCACCAGACUGCCUCUACCUGAUGUAGUAUGAGGUAAAAAUGGACAAAACCUAAAUGCUAUCUACACUGGGGAAGGUUUCUAGAAGAUGCACGGCCCAAAUGUGAUCUCUAAUGUUCACCAAGUGGAUAAACAGAAGACUUUGAGGAUAAAGAUUUGCUUCUAGAAAGUUUUUUGAAGUAAUUUCUGUCUAUAGUAAACAGGGAACAAAUAAAGGAGCUAAAUUACAAAAGAGAAGUUAAAUGGUCUCCGAGAAGGUAUGGGGGGUAGAUAUAUAACUUUUGGCUUAAUAAUCCAAGCAAUAAUAGUAUUUAUCCAAAAAACGGGGAAAUACUUUAAGUUUUUUCUACUAGAUUCACAAAACUGAUUUUUAUAUAAAUUCUAGAAGAGGGCAUACACACACACACACACACACACAGA